UUCAGUGAAUUGGCUGGGUGGAAGAGUCCCCGGUUCUUUUUCUUAUACUGGAAUGAACAGGUAAAAAAACAGACUGCAUGGAAAAUGGCCACAGGGAAUAUAGCAAAAACCUCUCAGCAUCCUUCCUGCCCAUACCACCGCAUCUCUUGCACAGGCACCCAUAAGGGCACCCAUAAGCAUGCACCUACUUCCCAUUGAUUUGAUUUUUCUCCCCUAUUUUUUGCUAAGUUCUGCAUGUAAAUUAGCAAUCAUGCAUGGGGUUAGCUCUUGUUUUCAAGUUUGCAUAAAGGAAGCUCUAUAUAUACUGCUGUUUCUUGUGAAAUCUUCAGUCAGCGAUGAGGUUUCAGAUGAAAGACACAGUAGUGGAAGACUGAGCAUCUCUGCAGGCUAGUUAAGAAUGAGUGUCAGUCUGUUUUGGAAGGGAAGAUGGCAGCUUAAGGAAGAUUCAGGCGUUGCCUAAAGACUGAGCUAACUGAAGAGGAAGGAAGCCUGAGGACUUUUUUAUUCUCAGCAGCAGUUUCUAAUAACAUGGUGAAUCAAUUUUACAGCGCACCUUGACAAUAACAUGCAGUACUUUUUUUUUUUUUUUGGUAGGAAAUUGAUUCUGAACACCUGGAGACUACCUUGUAGACAGCAUUUUCCAAUAACCCUCACAAAAAAAAAAAAAAGUGACAUCAGUGGGAGAAGGUGGAGAAGUAAGAAAUGAAACUUGUGGCAAAUAGGCCUUGCAGCAGUGUGACAACUGACUCUUCUUGGAGUUCAACUUUUAAAUAGAAGGCUUGUGUGCCAGUUCCCUAAAAUUAAAAAUGGAUCCAAAGGAAAUGACUUCCCAGAGAACAAGCCGACCACUUUGGACUGACUGGACACAAGCCAUCAACACAGCUGCCUGUGGCUCCAGCCAAUUGCUGGUCUGCAUGCUGGUAGGGGAGUGCUGUAUCUUCCAUAGAGCAGCGAGCAUAUGGGCCUUUCGACAGCUGGCUCAAACAGAGGAGGAGGGAAAAGUGGCAGCAGAACCCCGGGGUUUGCUUUGUUUAAUUAUGGUGGACGGGAGAACUUCACGUGCCAAGGAAGCACAUUUAAGAUGUGCCUGGAAAAGAAAACAGAGAUUUUUGCCAGGAAGAAGGGAAGGAAGAAAGUAA
rnacentral:lncRNA from 1 species